rnacentral:rRNA from 1 species
GACGAACGCUGGCGGCGUGCUUAACACAUGCAAGUCGAACGGUGAAGCGCCUUCCUUUUUGGUGGGUGUGGAUGAGUGGCGAACGGGUGAGUAACACGUGAGUAACCUGCCCCCUUCUUCUGGAUAACCGCAUGAAAGUGUGGCUAAUACGGGAUAUUCUGGGUCUGUCGCAUGAUGGGUCUGGGAAAGAUAUUGUUUCGGUGGGGGAUGGGCUCGCGGCCUAUCAGCUUGUUGGUGGGGUGAUGGCCUACCAAGGCGGUGACGGGUAGCCGGCCUGAGAGGGUGGACGGUCAAAAGGGGACUGAGACACGGCCCAGACUCCUACGGGAGGCAGCAGUGGGGAAUAUGGCACAAUGGGCGCAAGCCUGAUGCAGCGACGCCGCGGGAGGGAUGGAGGCCUUCGGGUUGUGAACCUCUUUCGCCAGUGAAGCAGGCCUGCCUCGUUUGUGGGUGGGUUGACGGUAGCUGGAGAAGAAGCGCCGGCUAACUACGUG